AUACGAAGGGGGCUAGCGUUGUUCGGAAUUACUGGGCGUAAAGCGCAUGUAGGCGGACAUUUAAGUCAGGGGUGAAAUCCCGGGGCUCAACCGGGGUCGGAACUGCCUUUGAUACUGGGUGUCUAGAGUGUGGAAGAGGUAAGUGGAAUUCCGAGUGUAGAGGUGAAAUUCGUAGAUAUUCGGAGGAACACCAGUGGCGAAGGCGGCUUACUGGUCCAUUACUGACGCUGAGGUGCGAAAGCGUGGGGAGC
rnacentral:rRNA from 1 species